rnacentral:rRNA from 1 species
UACGAAGGGGGCUAGCGUUGUUCGGAAUCACUGGGCGUAAAGGGCGCGUAGGCGGCUUUGUAAGUCGGGGGUGAAAGCCUGUGGCUCAACCACAGAAUCGCCUUCGAUACUGCAUGGCUUGAGACCGGAAGAGGUAAGUGGAACUGCGAGUGUAGAGGUGAAAUUCGUAGAUAUUCGCAAGAACACCAGUGGCGAAGGCGGCUUACUGGUCCGGUUCUGACGCUGAGGCGCGAAAGCGUGGGGAGCAAACAGG